GCGCGAGUGGCGAAACUGGCAGACGCGCCAGGUUUAGGUCCUGGUGCCCCCGGGCGUGCGGGUUCGAGUCCCGCCUCGCGCA
rnacentral:tRNA from 2 species